UUGGGCUGUGACACAGAUUGCUGUCAUACAGCGAGACUCUCCCCACUUCAUGGGGCUGACAGCCUGCACGUGGCCACACCUCCGUGUGGAUACCUUCUUCACCCUGGUCAGCCUUUGACAACCCACUCUGGGCCUUCUCCUGGCUGGGACUUUAUUUUCACCCAUUUCAAAGAGCUCUGCCACCCCAAACUGGGCCACCACUGUCACCAUUUCCUUAGGAGAAAAAGCCAACAGAAACAUAAAAAGGAAAAACAUGAGGUGGUCCCCAUGGGUCAUGGCGCUCAGGACGGGAUGAGUCCCAAGGAUUUAAACUUCAGAGCCAACCAGCGAGGUAGGUGAUGACAGUUGUCCUAACAUUCCGAUUUGCCACGGUUUUCCUGUGAGCACGUUUGUUGAUGUUGUGAGUCAGUGACUCAGAAUUCAGGAUUGUAUAGAAGAGAAAAUGGUAAGAACAGCAGCAAUUAUAUAACCCGAGGUGUUUUCAUAGCAUUCUCCCAGCUCCUUUCAGGAAAUCUCCAGUCCUGUUGUCCAGGGGAGGAUUCUUUUAUCUCUUUUCUGGGGAUUUUUCUUCAAUUCCUGACCAACCAAACUGCUGUGUGCACUUCCCCUCUGCAUAACCAAAAACUAGUAUAGAGAGUCAACGAUCCUCCUUAAUGCUUUCAACCAAGUCAAUGAUAAAAAUCAUUGAAAGGGUAGAAGGCAAGGGAAGAUAAGCCCACCCAUCAUUCUUUAUAAGGAGUGACACUCUUACGUGUUGACCCUUCUUUUUCUCUGAAGAGACACCAAAAGAAUGGAAUCUCCUGGAAUGUGAGGUAACUCAGCUCACUCAUCUGUAGUCUUUACAAUAUGCCUCUCGGGUUUUUUGACGUGUGAAAGGAAAGAGACAGCUAGUCUGAAGCGAUAGAAAGUUAGGGUCAUGCACUCCAUAACCAUCUCUUGUUGAUGCAAGAACUGAGUGUAAACAGGAUGAGCAGAGUUUAUUAAGACCAAGACAAGUAUUAAGUGAGUAACAGCUGUAGACAUUUUAUUCUGCGUACACAUACAAGGGGCUUCAGGCACAUGCAUACAGGAGUGGAAGAGUGUUUAUUAUGUGCUGAGGACUGUGGUAGACAUUUUGUUUAAAUUAUUUCUUCAACUCUAAAAUACCUGUUAGAUUAUUACAUGGUGUUCUCAUUGAGCUAUUACAGGACUGCUGUGAGGAUUAAAUGAGAUGAAACUGGUAGUAUCUGGUACAUUAGAUUCUCAUAAUAGCCCUAUAAAUCUCACCAAGGUUAAAGUGACCCAGCCAAUGUCACAUCACUAGAAAGUGGUCGAGAUGGUGUUCUAAUCCAGAACCAAC
rnacentral:lncRNA from 1 species